rnacentral:tRNA from 1 species
GAGAAAUUAGUUAAACUAUAACAUUCGUUUGUCAAACGUAAAUUAUCCUUAGGAUAUUUCUUA